GGUCGACGAUUCCUACGGGAGGCAGCAGUGGGGAAUUUUCCGCAAUGGGCGAAAGCCUGACGGAGCAAUACCGCGUGAGGGAUGACGGCCUAUGGGUUGUAAACCUCUUUUUUCAGGGAGGAAUAAAAUGACGUGUACCUGAAGAAUAAGCAUCGGCUAACUCCGUGCCAGCAGCCGCGGUAAGACGGGGGAUGCAAGUGUUAUCCGGAAUCACUGGGCGUAAAGCGUCUGUAGGUGGUCUAGCAAGUCAACUGUUAAAUCUUGAGGCUCAACUUCAAAAUCGCAGUCGAAACUGUUAGACUAGAGUAUAGUAGAGGUAAAGGGAAUUUCCAGUGGAGCGGUGAAAUGCGUAGAGAUUGGAAAGAACACCGAUGGCGAAGGCACUUUACUGGGCUAUUACUAACACUCAGAGACGAAAGCUAGGGUAGCAAAUGGGAUUAGAUACCCCAGUAGUCCUAGCCGUAAACAAUGGAUACUAGAUGUUGAACAGAUCGACCUGUGCAGUAUUAAAGCUAACGCGUUAAGUAUCCCGCCUGGGAAGUAUGCUCGCAAGAGUGAAACUCAAAUGAAUUGACGGGG
rnacentral:rRNA from 1 species